rnacentral:rRNA from 1 species
AUGUCAAUUAGUCAGGUGAAAUCACACCCAAAAUUUGUGAAAAUUUCCCUCCACGUGCGUUAUUUAAUUUCCGUGCCAAAAACUAUACACCCUAUAUUUAGGAACGGAGGGAGUAUUGUUUACAAGCUUCUUAAGUUGGUACUGAUUCUGCCGGUAGCUACUGCUAGUGUUGAAAGGGUAUUCUCUUCAAUGAGCUAUGUGAAGAAUAAGGUAAGGAACAAAAUGGGUGAUGAUUAUUUGAACAAUUGUUUGGUUACAUUCGUUGAGAGAGAAUUUUUCAAUCAAGUGAAGGAUGAAGAUGUCAUCAAUCUGUUCCAAAAAGGCGACCGCAGAGUUAUAUUGUAA